ACAGCAGUCGCCACGGUAAUACGAAGGGUGCAAGCGUUACUCGGAAUUACUGGGCGUAAAGCGUGCGUAGGUGGUGGUUUAAGUCCGUUGCGAAAGCCCUGGGCUCAACCUGGGAAUUGCAGUGGAUACUGGGUCACUAGAGUGUGGUAGAGGAUAGUGGAAUUUCCGGUGUAGCAGUGAAAUGCGUAGAGAUCGGAAGGAACAUCUGUGGCGAAGGCGACUAACUGGUCCAUAACUGACGCUGAGGUGCGAAAGCGUGGGGAGCAAACAGGAUUAGAUACCCCAGUAGUCCCUGUCUCUUAUAC
rnacentral:rRNA from 1 species